CAUUGAGAAGCUAAACCCUAAGCGUUAACCUUUUAAGUUAAAGACUGGGAGCUCUACCCUCCCCUCAAUGG
rnacentral:tRNA from 1 species